rnacentral:lncRNA from 1 species
CCUGCCAGCAUGGAGAGCCGAGAGUGAAGGAAAAGAAUUGGACUGUAGGGUGUGGACUCCGAGCUGUUUGAACACUGUGAGGCUGAAUUCAAGGUUGGACCAGGAGAUUGGGUCCUAAUCAACAGCCUCAAAAGAAAACACUGCCAUUCGCCCAAGUGGGACAGACCAUAACAAGUGCUACUGUCAACACCUACCGCAGUCAAAAUAGCUGAUAGAGUCACGUGGAUACUUCUGGCUCAAUGCAAACGGGUCCAAGACUCACCAGUACCUGAGGAACGUUCCAAUGCAUUCCGUACGAGGGAGGAGAGAAGCAGGGGAUGACAGCGGGAUCUGGUCCGAUGGCCUGGGCAUUCCCUGAGGCAUUCCAGACCACUACAAAGCCUUGAACCCAGCAGCCAAUGGCCUGGCAUCUACCCUCUGCCCCUGGUGCGUCAUCGGAGCACACACAGAUUGGAUUA